UACGUAGGGUGCGAGCGUUGUCCGGAAUUAUUGGGCGUAAAGAGCUCGUAGGCGGUGUGUCACGUCGGCCGUGAAAACCUGCAGCUUAACUGUGGGCGUGCGGUCGAUACGGGCAUCACUGGAGUUCGGCAGGGGAGACUGGAAUUCCUGGUGUAGCGGUGAAAUGCGCAGAUAUCAGGAGGAACACCGGUGGCGAAGGCGGGUCUCUGGGCCGAUACUGACGCUGAGGAGCGAAAGCGUGGGGAGCAACAGG
rnacentral:rRNA from 1 species